rnacentral:SRP_RNA from 1 species
GGGCAAGUCCCUUACGGUCAGCUCCUUUGGAAUCCCCCAGGACGGGAACGUAGCAAGGGUACUUAGUUGAGCGUCGCGAUAAGGAUCGCUUGCCCACC